rnacentral:hammerhead_ribozyme from 1 species
AUCCAGCUGAUGAGUCUCAAGUAGGACGAAACGCAUUUCCUGGAU